rnacentral:rRNA from 1 species
UACGUAGGGCGCGAGCGUUGUCCGGAUUUAUUGGGCGUAAAGAGCUCGUAGGCGGCUUGUCGCGUCGACCGUGAAAACUCGCAGCUCAACUGCGAGCCUGCGGUCGAUACGGGCAGGCUAGAGUUCGGUAGGGGAGACUGGAAUUCCUGGUGUAGCGGUGAAAUGCGCGGAUAUCAGGAGGAACACCGGUGGCGAAGGCGGGUCUCUGGGCCGAUACUGACGCUGAGGAGCGAAAGCGUGGGGAGCGAACAGG